rnacentral:rRNA from 1 species
UACAGAGGGGGCAAGCGUUGUUCGGAAUUACUGGGCGUAAAGGGCGCGUAGGCGGCCUGUUAAGUCGAACGUGAAAUCCCCGGGCUCAACCCGGGAACUGCGUCCGAUACUGGCAGGCUUGAGUUCGGGAGAGGGAUGUGGAAUUCCAGGUGUAGCGGUGAAAUGCGUAGAUAUCUGGAGGAACACCGGAGGCGAAAGCGGUCCACUGGGCAGCUUCUGACGCUGAGGUGCGAAAGCGAGGGUAGCAAACGGG